AGGAUUCCCCUAGUAACUGCGAGUGAAGCGGGAAAAGCUCAAAUUUGAAAUCUGGUGGCCUUUGGCCAUCCGAGUUGUAAUUUAGAGAAGCGUCUUCCGCGCUGGACCGUGCAUAAGUCUCCUGGAAUGGAGCGUCAUAGAGGGUGAGAAUCCCGUCUUUGGCACGGACUCCCGGUGCUUCUGCGAUGCGCUCUCGACGAGUCGAGUUGUUUGGGAAUGCAGCUCAAAAUGGGUGGUGAACUCCAUCUAAAGCUAAAUACUGGCGAGAGACCGAUAGCGAACAAGUACCGUGAGGGAAAGAUGAAAAGCACUUUGGAAAGAGAGUGAAACAGUACGUGAAAUUGUUGAAAGGGAAACGCUUGAAGUCAGUCGCGUUGACCGAGACUCAGCCUUGCCUUGGCUCGGUGUGCUUCUCGGCUCGACGGGUCAGCAUCAAUUUCGAUCUUUGGAUAAUGGCAAGGGAAAGGUAGCACCUUUUUAGGUGUGUUAUAGUCCUUUGUCGCAUGCGAGGGUCGGGAUUGAGGGACUCAGCACGCACCUCUGGGUGUCGGGGCCCACGGGCCCACGUUACGUGCUUAGGAUGCUGGCAUAAUGGCUUUAAACGACCCGUCUUGAAACACGGACCAAGGAGUCUAACAUACCCGCGAGUGUUCGGGUGAAAAACCCGUGCGCGUAAUGAAAGUAAAAGUUGGGACCUCUGUCGUGGAGGGCACCGACGCCCGGACCAGACCUUCUGUGACGGCUCUGCGGUAGAGCGUGUAUGUUGGGACCCGAAAGAUGGUGAACUAUGCCUGAAUAGGGUGAAGCCAGAGGAAACUCUGGUGGAGGCUCGUAGCGAUUCUGACGUGCAAAUCGAUCGUCAAAUUUGGGUAUAGGGGCGAAAGACUA
rnacentral:rRNA from 1 species